UUUAGAUGGCGACCGGCGCACGGUGAGUAACACGUAUCCAACCUGCCGAUGACUCGGGGAUAGCCUUUCGAAAGAAAGAUUAAUACCCGAUGGCAUAGUUCUUCCGCAUGGUAGAACUAUUAAAGAAUUUCGGUCAUCGAUGGGGAUGCGUUCCAUUAGGUUGUUGGCGGGGUAACGGCCCACCAAGCCUUCGAUGGAUAGGGGUUCUGAGAGGAAGGUCCCCCACAUUGGAACUGAGACACGGUCCAA
rnacentral:rRNA from 1 species